GGUCCUACGGGAGGCAGCAGUCGGGAAUAUUGCGCAAUGGAGGAAACUCUGACGCAGUGACGCCGCGUAUAGGAAGAAGUUUUUCGGAAUGUAAACUAUUGUCGUUAGGGAAGAGAAAGGACAGUACCUAAGGAGGAAGCACCGGCUAACUCCGUGCCAGCAGCCGCGGUAAUACGGAGGGUGCGAGCGUUAAUCGGAAUUACUGGGCGUAAAGCGCUCGUAGGCGGUAUGUCAAGUCAAGGGUGAAAUCCCCGCGCUCAACGUGGGAACUGCCUUUGAAACUGGCAAACUGGAGUGUGUGAGAG
rnacentral:rRNA from 1 species